GUGUAGUAUUGACUGUGUUGUGGGUGAAUAAAGUGAGCCGUGCAGUGCCGUCUCUGUUCCGCCAUUGGACGCCCGUGUUUCUUUAUUUUAUAGUCAGACCUGAGUCUAGGCAACAGAAGAAACCCUCGGUUACAUUAGUAAACAAACAUCUGCCCGGAAGUUGUUGGUCGGGGAGAAGAGGAGCAGAGCCGCGAGGAACUUUAACAUGAAGUCUGAGAGGAAGCUGUCAGCGGACCAGGGGACAGCUUUACCUCAAGAUGUUCUGGAAGUGAUUGUUGGUGAAGAGGAGCAGCAGGAGUGUAGCUCCAGUGUGGACCCGCAGGAGGCAGAGCCCCCCCCACACAUUAAAGAGGAACAGGAGGAACUGUGGAGCCGUCAGGAGGGAGAGCAGCUUCAAGGGCUGGAGGAGGCUGAUAUCACCAAGUUC